rnacentral:lncRNA from 1 species
GCUUCUCUCCAGUCACCUGCCAACUACUGACAUCUAAUAGGCAAGUACUGAAGUCCGAGUUCAGACCACCUGCUUCCCUUGGUGGAGCCAGUGAACUGCAGGAAUAUAAGAACCAAGAGUUUCUGGGGUCAAGACCAGUAGGGGACCUGCCCCAGAACAGGCCAGCUUGAGAGCUGAGGAGCCCAUCGUUGUUGUCGGGGUUGUCAAGGUCAUCAGGAUCAGCCCUCGACUUGCUUGGGGCCUUGUCACCUCUCAUCAUGUCAUCUGUUCCUGGGUGGGAAAAGUGAUGGGUGCCAGAGCUGGCUGCUUAAGCAUCCUCCUUCUCCAAGGGAAGCCACAGGAAGCUGCCAGAUCCAAGACUGAAGGAGUGGCCAGUGCUCAGAUCAUCUCCCAAGGUCUGGUCCUGAAGGGUGAACAGGAAGGUGACAGGGGCUCCAGGCCACAGGGGCAUGUGAUCAAUGGCUCAGAGCAGUGACAGGCAGCACCAACCGAGUGCUCAGGACCUGAGAUUCCUGGAGCAGGAUGCAGAGAGAACAUGACCCAGCCACAGCAGCCUCAGAAUUCCCUGCAGGGAUGAGAUGCUGUGAGACCAUGGCACCUUGCCCUGCUAGCCACCCAUUCCCCUGGAGGAGCGGUGAUGGCUCCAGUCACCUUUCCAGGAAGAGCGCUGUGAAGCAGGCUACAUAGCAGAGAACUGCGAUGUCUUAGGUCCCAACAAACCGUUCCCCUGUCCUUAUUAAAGCUUUCUGGAUGGCAA